rnacentral:rRNA from 1 species
GCAGCCGCGGUAAUACGGGGGAUGCAAGCGUUAUCCGGAUUUAUUGGGUUUAAAGGGUGCGUAGGCGGUCAUGUAAGUCAGCGGUGAAAUUUAGGGGCUCAACCUCUACCGUGCCGUUGAUACUGCUUGACUUGAAUGCGGAUGCCGUGGGAGGAAUGUGUGGUGUAGCGGUGAAAUGCAUAGAUAUCACACAGAACACCGAUUGCGAAGGCAUCUCACGAAUCCGCAAUUGACGCUGAGGCACGAAAGCGUGGGGAUCAAACAGGAUUAGAUACCCC